ACUACGGGAGGCAGCAGUGAGGAAUAUUGGUCAAUGGGCGCGAGCCUGAACCAGCCAAGUAGCGUGAAGGAUGACUGCCCUACGGGUUGUAAACUUCUUUUAUAAAGGAAUAAAGUGAGGCACGUGCUCCUUUUUGUCUGUACUUUAUGAAUAAGCAUCGGCUAACUCCGUGCCAGCAGCCGCGGUAAUACGGAGGAUCCGAGCGUGAUCCGGAUUUAUUGGGUGUAAAGGGAGCGUAGAUGGGUUGUUAAGUCAGUUGUGAAAGUUUGCGGCUCAACCGUAAAAUUGCAUUUGAAACUGGCAGUCUUGAGUACAGUAGAGGUAAGCGGAAUUCGUGGUGUAGCGGUGAAAUGCUUAGAUAUCACGAAGAACUCCAAUUGCGAAGGCAGCUCACUGGACUGCAACUGACACUGAGGCUCGAAAGUGUGGGUAUCAAACAGGAUUAGAUACCCUUGUAGUC
rnacentral:rRNA from 1 species